CACCUGGUUUGACCUCUCCUUUGGCCCCCAGCACAGCAGUGAAUCCUACAUCAGAUUUGACUGUUAGUCCUACCUUGACAACUGACACCCCAAAGAGUCCAACUGAAAGAGGUCAAAGCUCCACAGAAAGCAUUGUGAAUUCAAACAGUC